rnacentral:RNase_P_RNA from 1 species
UGAGUAGGACAGACGAUCGCGGCUGUUAAGACGAAAGGUAACAGGUGAGGAAAGUCCGGGCUUCAUAGGGCAGGAUGCCGGAUAACGUCCGGUGGAGGUGACUCCAAGGAAAGUGCAACAGAAAUAAACCGCCACUUAUGUGGUAAGGGUGGAAAGGCAGUGUAAGAGACUACCGCCUGGCUGGUAACAGGCAGGGCACAUGUAAACCCCAUUCGAAGCAAGACCGAACAAAAGCAUAAGGUGGCCCGUCUGCUUUGGGUAGGUCGCUUGAUUUUACCGGUGACGGUAAAACUAGAUAGAUGAUCGUCAAAUACAUAACCCGGCUUACAGUUCUACUCAUUAU